AUCAAUAUACCAUCUGAACCCUGGAAUCCACUCCACUUAAAUAACUUCACUCUGGUCCUCAUAUUUCAGAUUAAAAAUCAUUCUUACAAAAGGUGUUGUCUGAGUGUGGGCUGCUCUCUUGAAGUGUAAUGUUUCCUUUAUUACAGCAUUUAUAUUGUAAAAUUGCCUGCUCUUUUGUCUGAAUCUCCCAUUUUGCUCUCUAGCUUCAUGAAAAUGUGGAUCUUGCUUACUUUUUUUUUUCCCCAGAUGUAUCUCCCCUAUUUAUCACAGAACCUUGCAAAUGACAGGUACUCAAAAUGUCAAGACAUUUGUCUUUUCUGGUGCCAGUACCAUAUUAAGUAUUAUAGUUUAACAAUAGAAUAGAGCAAACCAGUUCUUGUUCAUUUUUCCAAUUCAACAACAUCUAUUUUUUUUUUAUUUGAGACAGGAAAUAAAACAUCCAAUAGAAGGUGUAUUACAAAUGAGAGUUAAGAGGUAGAAAACUGGAGUUCAUUCUUACUGUAGAAAACCUACCAGCUAGUGUAUAACACAUCUUCAAUCUAUUCCAUCAGAGAAUAAAGGAGCUUGUGCAUUUACACACCAAUUCCUGUUUGCUAUUGUUUAAGGAUGCUGCUGGGGCAGAUGUGUACUGAAUUAGUAAGGGUAAGUUAAUGUGCAGGGAGCCAAUGUCGUGUGCUACAGUUGUUUAACUGAGAUGUAAUUAUUAGUUAUUCUGUUGCAUAGGCUAUAAUAUAUAGUGCAAAAUUUAAUUGCCCUGGGAGGUAUUCUUAUAUUCCUGCAGCUUAAACCAUUGAGCAGGAAGAAAAGAUUAACAUUAAACAGAUACAUGAGGUGGGAGGGAAAGGGAGAGAAAAGGAAAAUUGCAUGGUAAUGGAGGGAUACCCUCAUUGUUAUACAAAAUUACAUAUAAGAGGUUGUGAGGGGAAUGGGAAAAUAAACAAGGAGAGAAAUGAAUUACAGUAGAUGGGGUAGAGAGAGA
rnacentral:lncRNA from 1 species